CCGGAUCGCAGCCACCGCCACCGUCUGGAUCGCCGCCGCCGUCACACAGAAGACAGUGCAGGAGCUGCCACCACCUACGCUAAAACCACCUGAGCGCCGCAACAAGAGUGCACAGUUACAUAUGACGAAUCCACAAAGCAAGGCAACGGAACAGACAACAGCGGAGGAUGUACCUUCAGGAGUCCAUACUACUUUGUCGGAACGGAGAUCCUUGAACAGACCGAAUGUGAUAGCACAUAUGAUGCUCCAGGCCCGAUGGAGGGGACAAAUGUUGCCGAGAUGUUGACAAUAUAUACCCAAGUGGUCUAG